UACGAAGGGGCUAGCGUUGUUCGGAUUUACUGGGCGUAAAGCGCACGUAGGCGGUUUGUUAAGUCUGAUGUGGAAAUCCCCGGGCUCAACCUGGGACGUGCAUUGGAAACUGGCAAUCUAGAGGUACGGUAGAGGGUGGUGGAAUUCCCGGUGGUAGCAAGUGAAAUGCGUAGAGAUCGGGAGGAACACUCGUGGCGAAGGCGGCCACCUGGACCAGUACUGACGCUGAGGCACGAAAGCGUGGGGAGCAAACAGG
rnacentral:rRNA from 1 species